UACGUCGGGCGCAAGCGUUGUCCGGAAUUAUUGGGCGUAAAGAGCUCGUAGGCGGUCUGUCGCGUCUGUUGUGAAAACUCGAGGCUCAACCUCGGGCUUGCAGUGGAUACGGGCAGACUAGAGUGCGGUAGGGGAGACUGGAAUUCCUGGUGUAGCGGUGGAAUGCGCAGAUAUCAGGAGGAACACCGAUGGCGAAGGCAGGUCUCUGGGCCGCAACUGACGCUGAGGAGCGAAAGCAUGGGGAGCGAACAGG
rnacentral:rRNA from 1 species